UGGGACACACAGGCGGUCUCUUCCUAACACACGCUUCCCACGGUGCUUGCACGCGCUCACCGAUUUCUAACUGAGCUACCCGGGCGAUGCGGUGGAAAAGGAGAGAUCUUGAAUGAGCAGUGCUGGAAAAACUGGGUGCCCACUGCGGGAGAAGUGAACCCCACCAUCCACCUCUCAGCCCUCCCAACAACUCAUUCAAGGCAAGCCGCAGACCCAGGGGUGCGCAUUCGGCACGCUGGCACGCUCUCGGGACGCCCCCGCUCCCUCUCAGCCUGUCUGGGUCUGCGUCCCAGCUCUGCUUCCAAUUCCCGCGUCCUCCCCGGAGGCACCGGGGACGGCUCGCGUGGCGGGUCCCUGCCCUCCCGUGGCAGACCGGGUUCCCCGGCCCUGUCCGGGCUGCUGCCGGCAGCGUGUGAGCGCUUGAAUAGAGGAGACACUGGCCUGUCUAGCUCUCCGUGUUUCUGCCUCUGCCUCCGCCUCUCCGCCUUUCGAAUAAAUCUUUCAAGAAUGGCAAAAACACUAUAUGGAAACCAGAGCCCGAACAGAAAAGGAACAAGACAACAAAUGAAUGUGCUCUUUAAGGUACUUCAAGGGUAACAAUGCCCACCACAGCCAGGCUGGGCCAAGGUGAAGUCAGGAGAGCAGAGCUGCACCCGGGAGGCCCGUGAACGGCCGAGACUCGAGUUCCCGAGCCAGCAAGUGCGCGGCAGCGGAAAGUGGAGCCGGGACUUCAGCCCAGGCCCUCAGCGCGGGCCGCGGGGGCCCCUCCCAGCCCCUCGGCCUUCCCGCAAGUCACCCUACAACAUCCGCCCCUUCUGACGGUGACUACGUGGUCGCACGGGGACCACGCUUCCGGAACAUGGGCUCUGAGGGGCCACGCCGCGCGCAAACCACAGCAACGGCUUCGCCUUCGCAUCGGGGCUUUCUCAGACGAAGGCCAAGAAGAGCAGAGGUCGCGCCCGUCUCCGCGGGGCGGCGGCGCUGCGGACCCCGCUUCGGGAGGCCCACGCUGCAGGCGCGGGGCCAGCUCCAGGGGCCGGUUUGAGGCACGCAUUCCAGCGUUCCCCUCGGCGCCCUGUCCGAUUCCGAGGCCGGCGGCUGCAAGAGGACUUCAGGUCUGAGGUCAGUGUCCUGGGCGAGGCGCUUGCUCGUGGUUAAGGCACGACAGUGAGGCAGCCCACUGCCAGCCCACUGCCAGCCCACUGCCAGCCCAGCCCUGCCACUUCCUUCCCCUGUUCCCACUGCCCGCCGGCUCCCUCUCACCUCACCCUCCAGCUCUGGGCACCGCCAGGGCCCGCGUCAGCUUCUGCAGCUUUGACCUCUGACUCCCCCCCUCUCUCCGCAGCCACGAUGUGGGCACCCUCGGGUUUCUGUUUCCCUUCUUUCCCCAGACUCACCUAGCGUCCCCUCCCACGUUAACUAACGGCAAUCACACUUAGCGGGAGUGUGUCACCCGUGGUCGUGGGGACCGCAUCGCCCCAGAAUGUAAUACAGAGCGCAUGUCCCCGGUGCCAUCAGCGGCACUACACACUUCAGCAUCCCCGGAGGUCGGUUCCAGGACCCCGAUACCAACACCCACGGAUGCUCAGGCCUCGCC
ensembl:lncRNA